UGGAGUACUGUAGGGGGUAAACACAGUGAUUGAGUAGUGUAGGGGGUAAACACAGUGAUGGAGUACUGUAGGGGUAAACACAGUGAUGGAGUACUGUAGGAGGUAAUCACAGUGAUGGAGUACUGUAGUGGUAAUCACAGUGAUGGAAUACUGUAGGGGGUAAACACAGUGAUGAGUACUGUGGGGGUAAACACAGUGAUGAGUACUGUAGGGGGUAAACACAGUGAUGAGUACUGUGGGGGUAAACACAGUGAUGAGUACUGUUGGGGGUAAACACAGUGAUGGAGUACUGUAGGGGUAAACACAGUGAUGAGUACUGUUGGGGGUAAACACAGUGAUGGAGUACUGUAGGGGUAAACACAGUGAUGGAGCUCUGUAGGGGUAAAACACAGUGAUGAGUCCUGUAAGGGGUAAACACAGUGAUGAGUACUGUAGGGGUAAACACAGUGAUGGAGCUCUGUAGGGGGUAAACACAGUGAUGAGUACUGUAAGGGGUAAAUACUGUGAAGGAGUUCUAUAGGGGGUAAACACAGUGAUGAGUACUGUAGGGGGUAAACUCAGUGCUGGAGCAAUGUAGGAGUAAACACAGUUAUGUAGUAUUUAAGGGGGUAAACACAGUAAAUGGAGUACUGUAGGGGCUAAACACUGUGAUGGAGUACUGUAGGAGUAAACACAUUGAUGGAGUACUCUAGGGGGUAAACACAGUGAUGUAGUACUGUAGGGUUAAACACAGUGAUGGAGUGCUGUAGGAGUAAACACAGUAAAUGGAGUACUGUAGGGGGUAAUCCCAGGGAUCGAGUACUGUAGGGGCUAAACACAGUGAUGGAGUACUGUAGGGGUAAACAAGGUGAUGGAGUACUGUAGGAGUAAACACAGUGAUGGAGUACUGUAGGAGUAAACAAAAUGAUGGAGUACUGUAGGGGUAAACACAGUGAUGGAGUACUCUAGGGGGUAAACACAGUGAUGAGUACUGUAGGGGUAAACACAGUGAUGAGUACUGUAGGGGUAAACACAGUGAUGGAGUACUGUUGGGGGUAAACACAGUGAUGGAGUACUGUAGGGGUAAACACAGUGAUGGAGUACUCUAGGGGGUAAUCCCAGGGAUCGAGUACUGUAGGGGCUAAACACAGUGAUGGAGUACUGUAGGGGUAAACACAGUGAUGGAGUACUCUAGGGGGUAAUCCCAGGGAUCGAGUACUGUAGGGGCUAAACACAGUGAUGGAGUACUGUAGGGGUAAACACGGUGAUGGAGUACUGUAGGAGUAAACACAUUGAUGGAGUACUGUAGGGGGUAAACACAGUGAUGGAGUACUGUAGGAGUAAACACAGUGAUGGAGUACUGUAGGAGUAAACACAGUGAUGGAGUACUGUAGGGGUAAACACAGUGAUUGAGUACUGUAGGGGGUAAACACAGUGAUGGAGUACUGUGGGGGUAAACACAAUAAAUUGAGUACUGUAGGGAGUAACACAGUGAUGGAGUAUUCUAGGGGGUAAACACAGUGAUGGAGUACUCUAGGGGGUAAACACAG
ensembl:lncRNA